rnacentral:rRNA from 1 species
AAAGUCCCGCAAGGGAUUAGUAGAGUGGCAAACGGGUGAGUAACACGUGGGUGACCUGCCUUCGAGUGGGGGAUAACGUCCCGAAAGGGACGCUAAUACCGCAUGACAUCCUGCCUUUGAAGAGGUGGAGAUCAAAGCUGGGGAUCGCAAGACCUAGCGCUCAAAGAGGGGCCCGCGCCUGAUUAGCUAGUUGGUGGGGUAACGGCUCACCAAGGCAACGAUCAGUAUCCGGCCUGAGAGGGCGGACGGACACACUGGGACUGAGACACGGCCCAGACUCCUACGGGAGGCAGCAGUGGGGAAUUGUUCGCAAUGGGCGCAAGCCUGACGACGCAACGCCGCGUGGAGGAUGAAGACCUUCGGGUCGUAAACUCCUUUCGAUCGAGACGAACGGUUUCCGGGUGAACAAUCCGGAAGAGUGACGGUACCGAGAGAAGAAGCCCCGGCUAACUCCGUGCCAGCAGCCGCGGUAAUACGGGGGGGGCAAGCGUUGUUCGGAAUUACUGGGCGUAAAGGGCUCGUAGGCGGCCAACUAAGUCAGACGUGAAAUCCCCAGGCUUAACCUGGGAACUGCGUCUGAUACUGGAUGGCUUGAGAUUGGGAGAGGGAUGCGGAAUUCCAGGUGUAGCGGUGAAAUGCGUAGAUAUCUGGAGGAACACCGGUGGCGAAGGCGACAUCCUGGACCAACACUGACGCUGAGGAGCGAAAGCCAGGGGAGCAAACGGGAUUAGAUACCCCGGUAGUCCUGGCCCUAAACGAUGAAUGCUUGGUGUGGCGGGUAUCGAUCCCUGCCGUG